rnacentral:rRNA from 1 species
UACGGGGGGGGCAAGCGUUGUUCGGAAUUACUGGGCGUAAAGCGCACGUAGGCGGCUUUCUAAGUCAGAGGUGAAAUCCUGGAGCUCAACUCCAGAACUGCCUUCGAUACUGGAAAGCUCGAGUCCGGGAGAGGUGAGUGGAACUGCGAGUGUAGAGGUGAAAUUCGUAGAUAUUCGCAAGAACACCAGUGGCGAAGGCGGCUCACUGGCCCGGUACUGACGCUGAGGUGCGAAAGCGUGGGGAGCAAACAGG